AAAAGCAGAACUGGGCAGGGUCCCCGCCCCUUCCUAGGACUGCUUCCAAUGACGGCUCGGGGGCGGGCUCGAGGCACGCUUCCGGCGCGCCUUCCGGCGAGGGACGGUCCUCGCCCUGAGUAGAUUUCCGGCCGGCGACGGCCGAGGGGUUUCCGCAGGUGUUUGACUCCGCUCCUGCUGUGGGCUCGGGGAAGGGGUCUCCAGCGUGGCAUGGAGGCCGCGGGGAGUCGGAUGUGGAUAUGCGAGCGUAAGGAAACUGCUUCGAAUGCUCGCCCCACCGCCACGCCCAGAAAACCCCGAAGCGCCCUCCGCCGCGGAGCUCGGAGAGAGAGCAUGAGUGGGGGCAGAGGGAGAGGGAGAAGCAGGCUCCCCACUGAACAGGGAGCCCCACUCACGGCUCCAUCCCAGGACUCCAGGAUCAUGAUUGGAGCUGAAGGCAGAUGCUUAAGGGAUUGAGCCACGCAAGCGCCCCUGGAAAAUGUUUUCUUUGGGCCCCAGAAUCUGAAUAUUCCUUUCUGGGCCGCUGGGUCAGUGUGGGAAGCACACAGUAGGUGUGUACGAUUCCGCCGCUGGGACUGGAUUGUUCCGGCACCCUUAGAAUUGGAGAGUAGUAGUGUUCACUUUUGGCCACUAGGUGGCGACAGAGCGUCCUCGCAGGCAACACUGCCACCUCGUGGUCGUCGGUGCCCGUGACACCUGGAAAAAAGGCAAAGCGGCUGCUGAAGGAGGAGAGAUGGACUGGGGGCCGCAGGGAACAGACUCCGGAAUCCUGUGCUGGGCGGGGGUCAGCAGCCUGCUUCUGAUCACGUCCGACCGCAGGGAGGCCACGCCUCUUCCCCCACGCACAGACGCACGCCCAGGGCCGGGAAUCCUCCGCCGCUGGCCAGCGAUGGGGCGCCGGGAGUGGGGCUCCUCCAGAGGCUUCUUCAGUUUUCCUUUUAGCUCCAAGUGGGACAAACUUGCCGAGAACAUUGGCCUUCCUAGUCAACUUGGCUUUCCAAAGCAAGAUCCAACUAAAUGCACACAGGACAGAACUUCAGAGGUUCUUCAUAAAUUGCGUUUAUGUUGCCAAGUUAAAUAGUUUCAAAUACGUGCCAGGCAGAGGUAAAUUUACAAUGAAGCUAAUAAAAUUCAAACGCCAGGGCCCCUCAAUUGCAGGUACUUUUUUCCCGAGGCUCUGGGAGGUGCCCUAUCAUUGUGUUCGCACAGGCAUAUGUUUUUAUAAAAUUUUUUUAAAAAUAAGGUAUUUCAGCAGCAAUUGGUUAAGACUUCUGUCUCUACCUGACCUGCCCUCCAUCAGACAUCACAGCGGCCACAGGCAUUUAAGGGACUUGAUAAGGGGGAAGUCCAGCUGGGAGUACAUUCGGUUUGGAAUGCAUGGAAUACGUGUGUGGUCUGCAGUCACAGCUCUGUAUAGUUCGGCUAUUGCUGGCCAUCCUAUGUGGGAUUGGCUUCCAGGAAUACCCACUCUACCGUCUUCUGUGACACCUACUGGUGUUGCAAUAUGAGGGUCCAGGGCCAAAGGUAGUUCAACUGUCAGAGCCAGAAGCUAGUCUGGAAAAUUCCUUCAAUUAGCAGACACAAGCAGAGAAAAGUAAAAGGUACAGCUACUGUGGAAGAAAGUUAGGGCAGCUCCUCAAAAAAAUUAAACCUAGAAUGACCACAUGAUCCCACAAUUCCCCCUUCUGAGCAUACACCCAAAGGGAUUAAAGGCAGAGUCUCAAAGACAUACUUGUACGCCCAUGCUCACAGCAGCAUUAUUCUCAAUGGCCAAAAGGCAGAAGCAAUCCCAGUGUCCAUCAACUGGUGAUGGACGAACAGAGUGUGGUCUAACUGUACGAUGGAAUAUUACUCAGUCUUGAAAAGGAAAUGUUGACACCCACUACAACAUAGAUGUAGCUUGAGGAUGUUACACUACGUGAAAUAAGCCAGUGGCACAAAGACAAAUGCUACAUCAUUCCAUUUACCCGAAGUGCCUAGAGCAGCUGAAUUCACAGAACCAGAAAGUUGAGUGUGGGUUGCCAGGGCUGGGGGAGAAGAAGGAGCGGGGAGUUGGUGUUUAGUGGCUCUAGAGUUUCAGUUUGCAGGAUGAGCAAGUUCUGGGGCCGGCUGGUGACGGUUGCUUGACAGUGUGUGUACAGAACACUACCGAACCACACGCUUAAAAGUGGUUAAGAUGGUAAAUUUUCCUGGAUAUUUGGAUGUCAUGUCGAAGUAUCAUUUAUUAUGCUUUUUCCGCCUCAUUCUAAAUAGUAAUUUGCUUUUACACCUAA